CUGAACUUGACGGUAGCUGUAUUUUACUGGCUGCUAGCUAUUUUUAGCCUCUAUUAGUUGCUGUUCGCAGGCGUUAGUGAAACUUUUCUUUGAAGCUGAUGUAACAUUUUUGGGGGAUUCUGAUGCUUUUUGAAUAAACUCUCAUAUAAUGUGAGAAUGCAAUCAAACAGUUUAUCAGAGGGAAAAUUUAUGGGCUCACCAAACAAUUAAAACACAAUAAAACGUUUUUUAAAUGAUCAAAAAUUGAUUUAAAAAAUGUAAACAAAUAUAUACAGCCUAAUGAAAAAAAUCCCCAGUAUCAACUAUAUUUCCUUCUGCAAGACAAACAUUUGUUUAUUCAUUUAAAUUGAGUUGUAUUUAUAUUGUGCCAAGUCAUAACAACUGGAAGUUAGAAAUAAAAACAAGGGCCUACAAUGGCAGCAGAAUCUCAGUUACAAAUAUGUAAGUUUUACAUAAUCUUCAAAUUCUCGAUUUGAAACAGACAUGAUUUAUAAUAAUAAGAAUUUGAACUUGUGAUUUACAGUCUCAUUUCCAGGGCUCUAAAUUGCUAUUUUGUCAAAGCUGCUGCCAAGGUACAAGGUGUCCUUUGGCAUCAGCUGCAGUAAUAUUGGAUGCCAAGAGCAAACACUGGUAACCAUGUUUUACAAAGAAAGGUUCUCCUGUUUACAGCAAACUUCUUUGUCAGUUUCCUGGUUACCAUUUUGUGCCCUGCAACAGUGAAGAUAUCAGCAAGAUGGAAACUCUGGAACAUAUGUCUAUGUUCUCAAAGCAUCGAUUUCAGAUGUCCACCUCCUCCCCAUCUCCAUCUGACAGACACCUCAGUCAGAGCUCCAUCCAAGCCUCAGUCUUCAUCUUCUAGACUCUGGGGUGGUCCUGUCCUAAAUCCUAUCACUGCUGGGAUUCCAUUCUGCAAUGAUGGGUCAUCAGAGUCCAAUCACCACAUAUAUUAAUUUCUCAAUCUCAGUAAAUCCUGUUCAGUUCUUUAAAGUGAUCUCUCCUUAUUGAAAUAGCAUAAUUACCAUUGAACUAUGCACUUUGUCAAGUAUAUUGCCAUAGCGUCUGUUUAGGUUCACUUCCUAAAAUCGCUCUCUGGGUAGUCACAUCCCUGUCAUGGUCCGGAGUCUGCGACUCCGUGUUUAUGUUUAGUCUAUUAGUAUUCUGUGGUUUUGGUUACCUUGGGUGUUUGUAUUCUUCUGUUCAUGUUCCUAUGUUCUGUGUCCCCCAGUCUGUGUUUAGUUGGUGUGUUAUGUCAUUGCGUGUAUGUGUUUCCUGUUUUAUUGUGAAGGUCUGCGUCUUAUGUGAGUGUUUUCAGUUUGCCUCCCUAGUCUCGUCACGAUAAUCACUCCCAGCUGUGUUCCCCACCUGCGUGUAAUCUCCCUGUGUUCUCUGGGUGUAUUUAAGUUGUGUCUUCUGUCAUGGUAGUUGCUGGUUCGUCUGUGUUGUUUCCCCUCGGUCUCCCUGCGUCUUCCUGUAUGUAUUUCUCCGGACCUCCCUGCAUCCUCGUUUCUGGUUUGUCUUAUUAGUUUACCCAGUUUAGGUUUCCAGUUUCAUGUUUUGUCGCCACCGUUGUUUGUACUUACCCACCUCUGUGAAUAAACACUCACCUGCACCAGAGCUGCCGCCUUUUGGUCCCUUUCUACAAUUCCACACGGCUUGCCCCGGCAAUCCGUGACAAUCCCACAUUAAAAUGUGAAGCCUAGAGCUUCUUAUAA
ensembl:lncRNA